rnacentral:lncRNA from 1 species
GUUUCCUUCUGUUCAAGCCAAGGUUUUUCAACUGAUCUACUGAUUACCACAGACUUCGGUCUGCUUACACCAUGUGGAUUCCUACCUCCCAAGUCCCAGCCUCAAUCAUCAGCAAGAACCAAUCAAAGCCAAUGUACUACAGGAAAGGGUCCUGUAUGAGAGCCAGGCCAGGCCAGGCCAGCCCAUCUGCCUGGUCAUCUUCUCCCAUUUUCUUUCCUCCAAGCUGUAAGCCACACCGGUUUCUGACCAUUCUAUAUUCUGGGUUCUUAGCAAGUGACUAAUUUUUUUCUGAGAGAGGGUUGUGUUAAGUAGCCCAGGUUUUCUUCAAGCUUGGAAUCCUGCCUUCACUUCCUGAGUGCUGGGACCCACUUAUAAGGUUUACUCAAGGUCUCCAUAGUCUCCCACAUGCUCCCACACCUUGCCCAAGCAUCCCCUGCUACACUCUGGAUCCAGCUAAUGCCUCAUUUUGGAAAUGCCAGUUGAUACAUUUCCUGUAGGAAGGGAGCCCUGAGGUGCCCGGCUCUGGGCCAUCCUUUACCCAUCUUGAUUGUUGGGAUGAAUCAUCUGUGUGUCUGUCUAUCUACCUACAAGAUUGUGAGGCUGGAUCUUGUCACAUAGAAGGGCUUCAACAAAUGAUGGGGUAAUGGGUCAGAGCUUUUCCCACUGUGAACUGGUAAGGCUCAUCACUGUCUGCCAUGUCCUUGAACUCCUGCCUUUGGGGGAGGCUUUGCAAGGCAUGCUGGGAUGAGUCCAAGAUGUCCAUAAUGAGAAGACAGCAGUGGAGGAUUCACUGAUCACACAGCCUCUUUCCUUUGGCCCCUGUGCCCAGGCCAACUGCACCUUUGCUCUGUAGUGCUAGCUGGUCUGGGACGUACUACAUAGACCGUGGCCUGGAACUCAUGGGCAAACUUUCUGCCUAUGCCUCCCAGGUACUAGGAUAGCAGGCAUGGGUCAGCAGGCCUGGCUUCUUCCUUCAUUAACCUAGAGAGCUAUGAAGGAUGCAUGCUUCGUUUGCACAAGGCUGAGUCUGGUCUUACACACAAAGACAAAUGUAAUCCUUUUCAAUAUUUAUUGAUUUGGGUAAGUGAGUCCCAUGUCCCACAUGUAGGAGCCAGAAGACAACUUGUAGGAAUUCGCUCCUUCCUUCUACCAUGUUAUGUCGUAGAGUAGAAGCAAGCUCAGGUUCGUGUGGCAAGUGCCAUUACCAUCUGAAUCACCUCACACCCUCAAAUGUUUGAUUUGAGUGUGCUCUUUGGAAGGGGUGACAGACACAUUCAGAGGCAUGCGGACGCGGAUGGCUCACACCUUUAUUCCCAGUACCUACGGUCAGAGGCACACAGAUCUCUGAGAGCAGCCUGGUCUACACAGUGAGUUCCAGGCCAGCCAGGGCUACAUAGUGAGACCCUGUCUCAAAGGAAAAACCAUACAGAAAGUUGUAUGUUGGAGGCCAAAUCUUUCCGAUGCUUGCCCUUCCCCGAUCCACAGCAACCUCAUUCUUUAGCGGUCACCAUAGUUACCAUUUUCUUGUGAAGUCUUCUGGAAAUAAUACAUGAACAAUUAAACAUGUGUAAGGUCUUCCCCUCAUUCAAACAGCAGCAUUCCCAUGGGCGGCUAUGCACUCUGCAUCUUGGUUUAAGCGAAAGAGAGAUUAUGAAGACAACUCUGUGUGUGUGUAUCUCAGAAGCCUCAUUUUUCAUGGCUGUAUACUAUUUUGAUGUGGGAAAUUAUGUCAUGGCUGAUUUAACCAGCCUCUCAUGCAUGCGCAUUUCAUUUGAUUUCUUUUUAGCAGUUGUAGGUGAGUCAGAUGGUGGUGGUGCAUGGCUUUAAUACCAGGACUCUGGAGGCAGAGACAGGUGGAUCUGAGUUCGAGGUCAGCCUGGUCUAAAAGCAGGGUGAGUUCCAGAACAACCAGGACUAUACUGAGAUACCCUAUCCCAAAAAAAGUUGUAGGUACGAAUCUUGAACUAUUAUUGUGUAUAUUGCUGGGUGUAUCGCUAGGAUAAGGUUAGAGAGCUGGCGUUUCAAAGACCGUGUGUAUUUGUGAUCCAGUGUCAGACCAGUUGCAAGAGAAGUGCCAUUAACUUAUUUAAUUAGUAUGUUAAGAGUGCUGAGACUUGAAUGGGCAACCAUUUCAUAGGUGACUGGUAUUGUGUUAUUUAAUGUGACUUUAUGUUAUUCUUUUAAAAAAGUUUUAAAAUACAAACAUGUAAAAUU